rnacentral:rRNA from 1 species
AACGAACGCUGGCGGCAGGCUUAACACAUGCAGGUCGAACGGGUGCAGCAAUGCAUCAGUGGCAGACGGGUGAGUAACACGUGGGAACCUUCCUAGAGGUACGGAACAACUCAGGGAAACUUGAGCUAAUACCGUAUACGCUCUUGCGAGGAAAGAUUUAUCGCCUUUAGACGGGCCCGCGUCGGAUUAGGUAGUUGGUGGGGUAACGGCCUACCAAGCCUACAAUCCGUAGCUGAUCUGAGAGGAUGAUCAGCCACACUGGGACUGAGACACGGCCCAGACUCCUACGGGAGGCAGCAGUGGGGAAUCUUGGACAAUGGGCGCAAGCCUGAUCCAGCCAUGCCGCGUGAGUGAAGAAGGCCUUCGGGUUGUAAAGCUCUUUUGUCAGGGACGAUAAUGACGGUACCUGAAGAAUAAGCCCCGGCAAACUUCGUGCCAGCCGCCGCGGUAA